AUAUAACUUAGUAGUAGAGUGUCACCUUGACGUGGUGGAAAUCAUCCGUUCGAGCCUGAUUAU
rnacentral:tRNA from 1 species